rnacentral:rRNA from 1 species
GAUGAACGCUGGCGGCGUGCCUAAUACAUGCAAGUCGAGCGAACAGACGAGAGUGCUUGCACUCUCUGACGUUAGCGGCGGACGGGUGAGUCACACGUGGGUAACCUACCUAUAAGACUGGGAUAACUUCGGGAAACCGGAGCUAAUACCGGAUAAUAUUUAGCUUCGCAUGACGCAAUAGUGUAAGACGGUUCUGCUGUCACUUAUAGAUGGACCCGCGGUGUAUUAGCUAGUUGGUGAGGUAACGGCUCACCAAGGCAACGAUACAUAGCCGACCUGAGAGGGUGAUCGGCCACACGGGGACUGAGACACGGCCCAGACUCCUACGGGAGGCAGCAGUAGGGAAUCUUCCGCAAUGGACGAAAGUCUGACGGAGCAAUGCCGCGUGAGUGAAGAAGGUUUUCGGAUCGUAAAACUCUGUUGUAAGGGAAGAACAAGUACGUUAGUAACUGAACGUACCUUGACGGUACCUUACCAGGAAGCCACGGCUAACUACGUG